UGCCCCUUGGCCCAGUUGGUGAAGGCGCACGACUGUUACAACAUCCAAUCGUGAGAUCGCAAGUUCGAACCUUGCAGGGGCAG